CCUGCAAGAAACGGAUUGUCUAGCGUAUUAAACACAGCGCCAGCACAUCUCAACACUUGCAUAGAUCAUUAGCGACAAUUGACGAAUGCGCUGCCAUCAGAUCGAUGGCUGGGCUAGUGUUGAUUGCUCACA
rnacentral:snoRNA from 1 species